AAACUUAAAGGAAUUGACGGAAAGGCACCACCAGGCGUGGAGCUUGCGGCUCAAUUUGACUCAACACGGGAAAUCUCACCAGACCCGAACAUCUCUAACGAUUGACAGAUUGAAAGCUCUUUCUUAAUGAAGUGGAUGGUGGUGCAUGGCCGUUCUUAGUUGGUGGAGUGAUUUGUCUGGUUAAUUCCGAUAACGAACGAGACUCUGUCCUGCUAAAUAGUUGGGUCGUCCUUCGUGCGAUCCAAGUUCUUCUUAGAGGGACUGGCUGCGUCUAGCAGCACGAGAUUGAGCAAUAACAGGUCUGUGAUGCCCUUAG
rnacentral:rRNA from 1 species